rnacentral:rRNA from 1 species
UACGUAGGGGGCAAGCGUUGUCCGGAAUCAUUGGGCGUAAAGAGCGUGUAGGCGGCUUGGUAAGUCCGCUGUGAAAGUCCAGGGCUCAACCCUGGAAAGCCGGUGGAAACUGUCAAGCUUGAGUCCGGAAGAGGCGAGUGGAAUUCCUGGUGUAGCGGUGAAAUGCGCAGAUAUCAGGAGGAACACCAAUGGCGAAGGCGGCCCGCUGGGCAGUGGCUGACGCUGAGGCGCGACAGCGUGGGGAGCAAACAGG